UACAGAGGGUGCAAGCGUUGUUCGGAAUUAUUGGGCGUAAAGCGCGUGUAGGCGGCAUGGCAAGUCGGGUGUGAAAGCCCUCAGCUUAACUGAGGAAGUGCGCCCGAAACUGCUGUGCUUGAGUGCCGGAGAGGAUGGCGGAAUUCCCCAAGUAGAGGUGAAAUUCGUAGAUAUGGGGAGGAACACCGGUGGCGUAGGCGGCCAUCUGGACGGUAACUGACGCUGAGACGCGAAAGCGUGGGUAGCAAACAGG
rnacentral:rRNA from 1 species